AGAAUGCGUCCAUAUCCUGACUCCCGAGGCCGAAGAGGAGGCAGAGGGGGGCCACCAUUUUUAUCACCCCCACCCAUGAGAGGAAUGAUGAGAGAUCCUUUCUCACUUCCACCACCAAGACAUGGACUUCCUCCACCACCACCAGGACCAAUGGGCUUCAGAGGCAGGCCACCCCACCCCAGAGCCAGAGGGAUGCUGCAGAUGCCAAGAGGUCGAUUCCCUCCGCCAAGAAGGGUAACAUAGUCACUCUUUGAGGCCAAUUGGAGAUGGUAUGCAGACCUUUUGGAGAGCGUACAACAAGACUUAUCUGAGCAUAUGCCAAACAAUAGUUCUGGAGUCAGUUACUAUAAUGUCCUUCGUUUGUUCUAGUAGUAAUUUCUAAAUUGAGAAACUAUUUCACUUGUUUUCACUAUUGAGAUCUCUAUUUUGAACUCUUGGAAUUUUUGCUAUGGGGAAACUACGAAUGGCAGAGCUGAAAUUCAAGCUGGAAGUUCUGUUGAGUUCAAGGAGCAAAAGAUUGGUAUGUUCAUUAUGACUCUUAAUUUCUUAUACUGUAAUUACUGUAAUGUACAGUUAGUAUAAGAAUAUUGUAGAAGCACUUAAGUUUUCUGCAAAGUACUACCAAACUUUUUAGGAAAGAAGUAUGAAUACUGUACAUUAGAAUACAGAAUAGAAUGCCAGUGAUGACUUAUAGUUCUAAGUAUGUGUAUAAAUAGGUAGUGUCUCUUAUUUUAAAACUGAUAUUCUGUGGGAAAGUUUUCCUGUCAUCUACAUUUUUUUGUUUAAAAAAAUAAAUUAAACAUUAAAACAUUAUUUUGUUGUGAUCCAAAAUACAGCAUUUGCACAGGCUGUCUGAGAUAUACUGUUCUGAAGUAGUAGUUAUUAACACCAAAUUUAUAUAAAAAUAAACAGUA